rnacentral:rRNA from 1 species
AGUCGAGAAUCUUCCGCAAUGGGCGAAAGCCUGACGGAGCGACACCGCGUGUAGGAUGAAGGCCCUCGGGUUGUAAACUACUGUCACGCUAUAGGAACCGCACUUGCCUAAUAAGUAAGUGUCUGACUAAAGCGAGAGGAAGUACCGGCUAACUCCGUGCCAGCAGCCGCGGUAAUACGGAGGGUACAAACGUUGCUCGGAAUCACUGGGCAUAAAGCGCGCGUAGGCAGUCCACCCAGUCAGAUGUGAAAGCCCUCGGCUCAACCGGGGAACUGCAUUUGAUACUAGUGGGCUUGAGGAUGGUAGGGGUGUGUGGAACUUCAGGUGGAACGGUGAAAUGUAUUGAUAUCUGAAGGAACACCUGUGGCGAAAGCGGCACACUGGGCCAUUUCUGACGCUGAGGCGCGAAAGCUAGGGUAGCGAACGGGAUUAGAUACCCCGGUAGUCCUAGCCGUAAACGAUGAGCACUAGGUAAGGGGAGAGCCUAUUUCUCUCUUUGCCGUAGCUAAUGUGUUAAGUGCUCCGCCUGGGGAGUACGCUCGCAAGGGUAAAACUCAAAGGAAUUGACGGGGGCUCACACAAGCGGUGGAGCAUGUGGUUUAAUUCGAAGCAACGCGAAGAACCUUACCUAGCCUUGACAUAUACGGAUUAGCCCUAUGAAAGUAGGGUGACAGCUCUUCGGAGUCGGAACGUAUACAGGUGUUGCAUGGCUGUCGUCAGCUCGUGUCGUGAGAUGUUGGGUUAAGUCCCGUAACGAGCGCAACCCUUGUCGUUAGUUGCCAGCGGGUAAUGCCGGGGACUCUAGCGAGACUGCCGUUGUCAAAACGGAGGAAGGUGGGGACGACGUCAAGUCAUCAUGGCCCUUAUGGCUAGGGCUACACACGUGCUACAAUGGUCUGUACAGAGGGUUCCUAAGCCGCGAGGCCAAGGCAAUCCCAAAAAGCAGGCCCCAGUUCGGAUUGCAGGCUGCAAUUCGCCUGCAUGAAGUUGGAAUCGCUAGUAAUCGCGUAUCAGCUACGACGCGGUGAAUAUGUUCCUGAGCCUUGUACACACUGCCCGUCAAGCCACGAAAGCGGGGAGUGCUCGAAGCCGUUUUGUCCGACCUUCGGGAGGACGACGUCGAAAGCAAGCUCCGUGAUUGGGACU